GGAUCCUUGCACGAGCAACGACGUCCUCCCAUUUAUGCCGUUUCAUUCUUGAUCCAAGAGCGAUGCAAGCCUUGGUCGGUUGUUGGGUUUCCUGUGUUGCAUACCUAGUGCGAUGGUAUUCGUUUGUAGCAAUCGUCCCACGUUCGUCUUGCAAUGCCCGUUUCGGCGUGCGCGUUGCCCGACGAACCGCGAAGCGCUCGUCGCGAUCCACUUCGGCCACGUUAAGUCGUGCGUCGUUUGUGGCUCGCGGCGAGUUUCUCGUGCUCACGGAUUCGGAAAGCAUUGAGGGUACGGGGCUAUUACCCCUAUUUGCCCAAAACUAAGCGUUCACCGUUAACUAACGUACGACUGUCGUGGCCGUCUCUUGUAAAUGCCGGUUCCCUCGGGUCGUGACAUUUUACUCGAGCGGUGACGACGUCAAUGAGGA
rnacentral:misc_RNA from 1 species